GACGAACGCUGGCGGCGUGCUUAACACAUGCCAGUCGAACGGAAAGGCCCUGCUUUUGUGGGGUGCUCGAGUGGCGAACGGGUGAGUAACACGUGAGUAACCUGCCCUUGACUUUGGGAUAACUUCAGGAAACUGGGGCUAAUACCGGAUAGGAGCUCCUGCUGCAUGGUGGGGGUUGGAAAGUUUCGGCGGUUGGGGAUGGACUCGCGGCUUAUCAGCUUGUUGGUGGGGUAGUGGCUUACCAAGGCUUUGACGGGUAGCCGGCCUGAGAGGGUGACCGGCCACAUUGGGACUGAGGUACGGCCCAGCCUCCUACGGGAGGCAGCAGUGGGGAAUAUUGCACAAUGGGCGGAAGCCUGAUGCAGCAACGCCGCGUGCGGGAUGACGGCCUUCGGGUUGUAAACCGCUUUCGCCUGUGACGAAGCGUGAGUGACGGUAAUGGGUAAAGAAGCACCGGCUAACUACGUG
rnacentral:rRNA from 1 species